CUGAUCGCGGCGGGCCGGGCGUACGCCCGUUUCGAGCAUGGGCAAGUGGUCUUCAAGGCCGAGGUGGGUUCGCAAUCCCCGGCGGUCGGCC
rnacentral:tRNA from 1 species